rnacentral:lncRNA from 1 species
UUCACUGGAAUUCUUCUGUAAGAAAGAACUGCUCUUUUUCACCCAUUUAAAUAAUGUUUUGUUUACAUCACUAUGAACUCAUGGAUAUCUAUUAUAUGGGCUAUAAUCUAAUACUGUUAUUUAUUUUGUUGCUCAAACAUUCCAGCUUUGGCCAAUGGGAGCUCUUUCAGGUUGGUCCCUGGGCCCUUUCAAAAAUACCCAUUCUUAAGCGCAUCCUUCCUUUUGGGUACAAGAUGCUCCAGGUUCAUCUUAUACUUUCCCUGCCUCAGCCACUUCUUCAUGGAGUCAGGGCUCACAUUUUGACUCAAGUUAACUUCUCUGAGUCUCAGUUUCCUCAUUUGGAAACAACUGGAACAAUAACACCUACCUUACAGGGUUGAUAUGGGGAUUAAAUAAAUAAUGUAAUGGGGUAAUAUUUAGACGUUUUUAAUGGGCAUUUUUUCUUUGCCCUCUCCAGCAUAAACUCCAACAUAGACUCUGCUUCUCGAGUUACCCUGGGCUGGUACUAUGAAACAAGACGCUUAAGAAAAGAUUUUCCAAAUUCCUUUAUCUGUUCUCACCAACCCAGCCCUCCUCCAUCUUCUCCCAGGUUUCAAAGGGCUCAACAAAAAAGUCAAGGCCUUUUGGGGGCGAUAUUAUCAACUGGCAUUCUCAGAGGUGCCUGCUCUCCAGCAGGAGAAGGGUUAAAUGCUUGGUGAUAACUUCAGCUCUGAACUGCCAAGUCUCUUAGGUUCAGCUCAGCAAUCAAACUGCAUAACCUAAUAGAGCCCCUGGUGCUAUGGGAAACACAAGACACUGAUUUAUAUUUUAAUAUCAGUAAUUUCCACAAGAGCAACAUUUCUGAGUGUCAUUUUACAAUUUCUGUCAAACGCCAGCUCGGUUUUUCUUAAUUCUGUUUAUUGUGUCUGAAUUUGCAACCUCAUCCGCAAUGCAGAUUCUUGAUUCCCAAGAGAGAAGAACAUUUCCAUCUUUCUCUAGAGUGGGAGGGAUGAGGAUGAGGGGCAGAAAUGGGCUUAUAAGAUAAUUGAAAAUGUAAAUGAAGUACUGUUUAUUAAGAAAUGAUUGUGAAGUAUUUUUGUUAAAAAAAAAAAGGCAGUCCUGAACAAACUUAGCAAAAAAUGACAAACAAAAGAGAUGUUUCGGAUCCAAAU